UACGUAGGGGGCAAGCGUUGUCCGGAAUCAUUGGGCGUAAAGCGCGCGUAGGCGGCCCUGUAAGUCCGUUGUGAAAGUCAAAGGCUCAACCUUUGAAAGCCGAUGGAUACUGCAGGGCUAGAGUCCGGAAGAGGCGAGUGGAAUUCCUGGUGUAGCGGUGGAAUGCGCAGAUAUCGGGAGGAACACCGGUGGCGAAGGCGGCGACCUGGGUAGAUACUGACGCUGAGGCGCGAAAGCGUGGGGAGCAAACAGG
rnacentral:rRNA from 1 species